AUCGAUGAAGAACGCAGCGAAAUGCGAUAAGUAAUGUGAAUUGCAGAAUUCAGUGAAUCAUCGAAUCUUUGAACGCACAUUGCGCCCUCUGGUAUUCCGGAGGGCAUGCCUGUUCGAGCGUCAUUUGCUAAACUCAAGCCUACUUGUAGGCUUGGUCUUGGGUGCUGUCCUCUCUGGAGGACACACCUCAAAUGCAACGGCGACACUGCCUGGCUUCAAGCGUCUAGGAAACUUCAUCGCUUCUGUCAGAUAAAUGUCUGCCUCUCAACCCCAAUUUUUAUUCUGGGUUGACCUCGGAUCAGGUAGGGAUACCCGCUGAACUUAAGCAUAUCAAUAAGCGGAGGAAAAGAAACCAACAGGGAUUGCCUCAGUAACGGCGAGUGAAGCGGCAACAGCUCAAAUUCGAAAUCUGGGUCUUUCAGGCUCCGAGUUGUAAUUUGUAGAGGGAUCUUCGGGUGUGGUCCGGCCUAAGUUUCAUGGAACUGAACAUCAUAGAGGGUGAGAAUCCCGUAUGCGGCCGGGUGCCUAUAUCCAUGUGAAGUCUCUUCGACGAGUCGAGUUGUUUGGGAAUGCAGCUCAAAAUGGGUGGUAAAUUUCAUCUAAAGCUAAAUAUUGGCCAGAGACCGAUAGCGCACAAGUAGAGUGAUCGAAAGAUGAAAAGCACUUUGGAAAGAGAGUUAAACAGUACGUGAAAUUGUUGAAAGGGAAGCGCUUGCAACCAGACUUGCGCGUUGCCGAUCAUCUGGGGUUCUCCCCAGUGCACUCGGUUUCGCUCAGGCCAGCAUCGGUUUUGGUGGUUGGAUAAAGGCCUUGGGAAUGUAGCUUCUUUCGGGGAGUGUUAUAGCCCUCGGUGCAAUGCAGCCUACCGGGACCGAGGACCGCGCUUCGGCUAGGAUGCUGGCGUAAUGGUUGUAAGCGACCCGUCUUGAAACACG
rnacentral:rRNA from 1 species